UCCAUUUUUUCUUUCCCUUUCCCUCUUUCCCUUUUUUACUCAGUUCUUCUUUCCCUUUAUCCCUUCCCCUUUCCCUUUCCUCCCCAUUUUUUCUCUCCCUUUCCCUUUCCCUUUCCCUUUCCCUUUCCCUUUCCCUUUCCCUUUCCCUUUCCCUUUCCCUUUUCUCUCCAUUUUUUCUCUCCCUUUCCCCCUUUCCCUUUUCUCCCCAUUUUUUCUUUCCCUUUCCCUUUUCCCCUUUCCCCCUGCUUUUUCUGUCUCUUUCCCUUUCCCCUUUCCCUUCCCCCCAUUUUCCCUUUCCUCUUUCCCUUUUCUCCCCAUUUUUUCUCUCCCUUUCCCUUUCCCCCUUCCUCUUUUCUCCCCAUUUUUUCUCUCCCUUUCCCUUUUCCCCUUUCCCUUUCCUCCCCAUUUUUUUCUCUCCCUUUCCCUUUUCCCCUUUCCCUUUCCUCCCCAUUUUUUUCUCUCCCUUUCCCUUUUCCCCUUUCCCUUUCCUCCCCAUUUUUUCUCUCCCUUUCCCUUUCCCCCUUCCUCUUUUCUCCCCAUUUUUUCUCUCCCUUUCCCUUUUCCCCCCCCAUUUUUUCUUUCCCUUUCCCCCCCGUUUUUUCUUUCCCCUUUCCCCCCCGUUUUCUCCCCCUUUCCCUGUCCCCUUUCCCCCCGGCCGGUGCCGGGAUCGGAUCGUUCCCGUUCUCCUGCGCUCCUCUCCUUCUCCCGUAUCCCAGCUGGUGUGCGCUACUGGCUGGUGCCGCGCGAGGGGCGUGAGCAGCUCCGUGCCUGUGGUCAGUGAUGAAGACUUUCUGCUCUUUUCAUCCCCGCAGCACGGAGCCACCGCUCAGGGCCAGCCGGCAGCUCCUAAUCCCCGAGUUUUGGCCUUUUCCAGCCCCUUCCCAGCAGAAUGCAGCCUUCCCCUCCGGCCGCCUGAUGAUGAGCCAAGAAAUUCACUUUUCAUGGGAGGUGCGAGUGAGAGCCGGCAGUAGCUGAGCACGGAGGGUGCCAAGGUCUGGAGGAUGCGGCAGAGCCCUGGUGGCCCUCGGGACCCGCCCGCAGCCCGGCCCUGGGGAGCUGCUGCCCCUCUGCCGGUGCCCAUCGGAGGGGGACCAUGCCCGUGACCGGGGCACGGCAGCUCGCAGCGGGACGGGAACGGGACAGCGGGGCUCUCUAGC
rnacentral:lncRNA from 1 species